rnacentral:rRNA from 1 species
UCGCGGAUCAGCAUGCCGCGGUGAAUACGUUCCCGGGCCUUGUACACACCGCCCGUCACACCAUGGGAGCCGGUAAUACCCGAAGUCAGUAGUCCAACCACGUGAGGACGCUGCCGAAGGUAGGAUUGGCGACUGGGGUGAAGUCGUAACAAGGUAGC